AUUGAACGCUGGCGGCGGGCCUAACACAUGCAAGUCGAACGGGUGGCGGACGGGUGGAUGAUGUCUGGGAAACUGCCUAAUGGAGCGAGCUGAGGGCUGGAAACGGUAGCUAAUAGCGCAUACCGUCCGAUGUGCCCAGGUGGAAGUAGCUAGUAGGGGGGGUAACGGCUCACCAAGGCGACGAUCCCUAGCUGGGCUGAGAGGAUGACCAGCCACACUGGAACUGAGACACGGUCCAGACUCCUACGGGAGGCAGCAGUGGGGAAUAUUGCACAAUGGGCGAAAGCCUGACGCAGCAAUGCCGCGUGUAUGAAGAAGGUCUUCGGGUUGUAAAGUACUUUCAGCGGGGAGGCGUUACUCGCAGAGGAAGCACCGGCUAACUCCGUGCCAGCAGCCGCGGUAAUUC
rnacentral:rRNA from 1 species